CUCAGAGUUCCACGUGACUGGGGAGACUUCACAAUCUUGGUGGAAAGUGAAAGGCACAUCUCACGUGGCAGCAGACAAGACAAGAGAAGGUGGGCAGGGAAACUCCCCUUAAUAAACCAUCAGAUCUCAUGAGACUUAUUCACUAUCAUGAGAAUAGCAUAGGAAAGAUCCACCCCCAUGAUUCAAUUGCCUCCCACCAGUCCCUGCCACAACACGUGGGAAUUGUGGGAUCUACAAUUCAAGAUUAGAUUUGGGUGGGGACACAGCCAAAGUAUAUCAAAUGCCUUUCAGUUCCUGUGUCGUGUCAUGGUCCAUGUACAGUUUGAUAUGUUCUGUCUGUUUCUGUGAUACACCCUCACGCCCUCCACCUGUGCUUAACAGGCUCCCGCUCAUCCUGGGCUUCAGUUCAGGAGGACUUCUUCCAGAUCAGCAAUUCUACCCAGGCCAUUUUCUUCCAUCUUCCCGUGCUCUUCUCUGUGACAGCACAAGUCAUACAGUGGAGGCUGUCUCAAGGGCUUCAGCAGGAAACAAAAGGAAAGAAGAGAAAGAAAAUAGCAGAUGACAGUGAACCAUUGCAAACUUUAUCAAACAGUAGCCACAAUCCCAGUGCAAUCUGCGAUGUCAAGACAGCAGAUCAAUGCAGUGUGAGGCUACUGAGGUGACGAGUGAGUUCUUUUCUAUCUCCAUCUAAAAGGAAAAAAGCCCCUCUGAACAGAUAGCAAUCGCUGGACACAUUCCCAGUCUUGCCCCA
rnacentral:lncRNA from 1 species